rnacentral:lncRNA from 1 species
UCAUUAUUGUAGACAAAUUGGACAUAUUGCUCUUGCGUGUUUUACACGACAUAGACAUAACAUUCAAUCACAUCACUAUGAUUUGCCUAACCCCCAAGGACCCAAAAUGGCAUGGGUACCUAAAACUCAUUAAUCUGUUUUGUUGGUAUGUUUGAAGGGAUCACGUGUACUAUGGUACCUUGAUAGUGGAGGCUCCAAGCACAUGACGGGAGACAAA